AGAAAGGAUUUCCUUGCACAAGUUUUUAGGAUUAUUAUCAUUUGCCUGUUGUGGUAAUCACAUGAUCAAACUUGAGAAUCAAGUACAACAUAAUGUUAUCAUAUUGGAGCAACCUGUAUUAUCUAAAAAAAACAACAGUUUUCCAAGUGAUUGAAGACAAAAACAUGGUGGUUUUUCUGCCAUGAUGGAAGGCCUAUGCUCUUUGCUCAACAUAAGAACCAGCAAGU
rnacentral:misc_RNA from 1 species